CUCCAGGUAGCUCAAUGGUAGAGCAUUGGGCUGUUAACCCAAAAGUUCAAGGUUCGAGUCCUUGCCUGGAGG
rnacentral:tRNA from 1 species